rfam:Pseudomonas monteilii strain TSDA-ARS-TSMARC-56711, complete genome.
GGCACACAACCUGCUUUGACCUCUGCAUAGGUAACCAACGGCGGUUGCCCACCCCGACAAAGACGUCGC